AUGCACUGUUCAAUAUGUGGAGCAGCUGAUCAUAACAAAAAAGGACACCAUAAUCAUGCUGAUAAGACUCCAAAUGAAGAAGCUGCUAGGGAAUCUGAAGAAGAGUAUGAUGAUCCAUCAAUACUUGCCAACAUAAUGCCACACAGGGUAUACCCUCAGCUGGAUCCAACACAAACACCUGAUUGUAUGGUGUACAAGAUGCAGGAACAGGAGAGGUUCACAUACCCAGCCCCUAGGGAAUUUGGCCCCUUGCCUGAGUCUACAUUUAUUGCAACUGCUAGAGAAGCAAUGCCAGUAGGCAGAGUGACAACAACAAUGGCUAGGGGGAGGGUGAGGAGUCAGUAA
rnacentral:rRNA from 1 species